rnacentral:lncRNA from 1 species
UUCUGAGUAAUAAUGAGUUGUUCUUUCUGUAUAUACUCCAAUGAAAGGAGGCUGGGAAAUAAGUAUUUUAGCGCACACUUUAGGAAUGUUCUGCAUGAGGUACAGUGUAAAACUGGAAAGUUGUAGUGGGUAUCAAUCCGUAUUUCUUAAUGUUCCGUGCUUGGUCUACAGUUUCUGUAACACGAUUGCAAUUCAGCUCCUUAUUUCUUUUUAACCUUACUCCUAUCUUUUAUUAUAUGUUCAUAUUAAAUGUUUGCCUUCGAAAAUAAGUAAACUUCAAGUCUGUUUAAAUACACAGUUCUACGGUAGGAUGCAGCGACUGCGAUAGCUUCUUGGUUGCUACAGUAUUCAAUUCUAUUUUACCCUCUUCAAAUUGAAGUAAAGAAGAAAUACUUUUACUCAGAGCAUAUACCUCAAUGAAGCUAAAUUAUAAAUCUUAAUUAGGUAUGAUUCACUGAUUUUAAUCUAACCAGAUAAUUAUUGUAAGUAGGAUAAAAAAGAUUGCCUUAAUAUUGGAGCCAUUUUCAUUUUAAUCCCUGUUUUAAGAUGAAACAAAUACUGUUAAAUAAACAGGCUACUAUUAUCCUUUUAUGCUUACCAGUUAAUACUUUUGAAUAGGAAUAUGUGUCUGGAGGAAUGAAGCAUUGAAAGAACGGACUGCCUGUUUGCAAACUUUGAAUGCCUUUUUUGAUAAAUUUCACUGCUAGGUAUUACAGGGAUCUUAAGGGAUCUUUUAAAUAAGAACUGCAUGUUUGCUUAUCUAAAUCGAAUAUUCUCUUGUUCAUGUGCACAGAUACAUUUCUUUGUAAAGCUAUUGAUGUCAUAGAUGUUUUUUGAUAUUUUUAUGAGUAAUUAGGUUAACGGGGUUAGUUAGAAAAUGUAUCCUUUCCUGGAAAAUGAAAAAUUACAUUCAAGCAGAGGGUACAAGAAUAGAGCAUAUUCAUGACUGUAAGUACUUAAAAUGAUAUUUUAUGACUCAUUUUUAAAGAAUAAUACCCAAUAUGUAACUUGUUAAGAAUAAUAGCCACACUUAGUUUUUAUAGCAUGGCUGUGUUAAAUCUGACUCUUCUGUUCUUGAAUCCCAGACCUGGAGUCAAUUUUAGAUCCUCCUUACAAAAGAUGUGUGUCUUAUGUCCUGGCCCCCACCGGCAGUCUGAGUCUGACUCUUUUAAAAAAGAGAUUUCGUUCGUGUUUCUCAGGUGAUCAGAAAGCAUCGGGGAGGGAGAGCCACGUGCAGACAAUUGGGACCUCAAGUGGCCCAGUUCUCACAACCUGGGGUGGGGGGAGGGGAAGAUGAGCAGUUUUGGAAUUUUAUAUGCCCAUAUGGCCAAAGGGUUUUUCUUUUUUCUCUGCCUUUAGGAAUAUUUUAAGUGCACUGUGAAUACUAUUAAGUUCCUUAAUUAAAAAUAUGCUUUGAAAUCAACCAAUUAUUGAUAGAAACUUACUUAUAUCUGCUGAGAUAGCAGACCCUUCAGAAAUAGAUUUAGUGUCUCAUUAAAAGGACAUUCUGUGCAUGUGCAGAAUCUCUUGAGUUUUUAAGUUAUGGGUAUGUCAUCUCUAUUGAUAACAUUUAAACAUUAAACUGUUAGGAAAUCUAAAAACAAGAGUUCUUUGUUUUGUUUUGAUAUUUAAUGUAUUACUUCAUGAGUGCAGACACCAAAUCAAUGCUUUCUUUCCUUCCUUUCUUCCUUCCUUCCUUCCUUCCUUCCUUCCUUCCUUCCUUCCUUCCUUCCUUCCUCCCUCCCUCCCUCCCUCCCUCUCUCUCUCUCUCUCUCUUUCUCUUUCUUUCUUUCUUUCUUUCUUUCUUUCUUUCUUUCUUUCUUUCUUUCUUUCUUUCUUUCUUUCUUUCUCAUUUUGUUUUAGCACCAAAGUAGAACUUUCUAUGGGUGAAUGGUUUCAUACUACUUAAUUUUAAAGAUACAAAGGGAAUCCAGUCUUACAUGUGAUAUGUGUUUGGGCAUAAGAAUGGAUAAAACCUGACAGUUUUACAAACCCAUAAUAUUUCUCUGAAAUUACAUCACCAAACAACUGUCACCAUGUGAUCCCAUGGGAGUUGUUGAGAUGGGAGACUGUAAAGCACAUGUAUUCUCACCUAAGUACCUGUCGAUAAACAUUAUCUAUGGUUUUUGACUACUCUGCACCUACUCUCUACUUCCUGGUAGGGCAAAGUGCUUCAGCCCAUUUUGCCAUCCGCAUAUUGCACGCUCACCAGGGCCCUACCUAUCUCAGGGAGCCUCCUACUGCUGAGCUAUAAUCAUACCACCUACCUGUGCAAAUGCAUUGUGGUGAGACCUGCAUUCUUUAUAAACUUAUCUGCAAGGCUGGUUAUCACUUGGUCAUCUGGAAAAUCAAAUUCCCCUUGAUCCACCAGUAUAUGGAUAUUUAGAUUAUGAGGAUGUAGCCUGAAUUAAUUAAGAGGGUACAAGGUGGUUGGGCAGUGGCAAAGCUGCCUCUGUUGUCAAGGACAAACUAUCCAUGAGGAAUGGCAACUGGUAGAAAAGGGGGGCACAGGCAAAGGAAGAAGAAAUUAGAAGAAAAUGUUGAGGCAAAGUUUAGGGUCCUUUCCCAUGUUUUUUUUGUUUUUUUUUUUUCCUGAAAACAGUGCUGACAAUUAUGCGGGUCCAAUCUUAUUAUAAUUAUGUGUAAAAAUGAGCACUUAUUAGGAAUUAAUGACCAGUAUGCUGUAAUGUAAGCAAAUUAUAAUUUCCUGUUAAGAAGUGGUAGGUUCUCUACCACAUUCUGAGUAAUAGAAUUUGUGACUAUUUAUAUG